rnacentral:rRNA from 1 species
UUUGUUUAUUUCAUGGGUCGGUAAUACCGGUCAGAUCAUUGUUCAAUCUGCGAGGCAAGCCCCUAAUUCCAGCCCGGCCUGUACACAAAAAAAGAUCCCCGGGGGGAGGGAGAAAAAUCGUAACAAGCGGGCCCCCCCGGGCACCUGCACUAAGAUUGGUAGUUAAAAAAAUCGUAACAAGGUUUCCGUAGGUGAACCUGCGGAAGGAUCAUUACCGAGUUGACUCGAGCUCCGGCUCGACUCUCCCACCCUAUGUGUCCCUACCUCUGUUGCUUUUGGCGGGCCGCGGUCCUCCGCACCGGCCCCCCUUCGGGGGGCUGGCCAGCGCCCGCCAGAGGACCACAAAACUCCAGUCAGUAAACGUCGCAGUCUGAAAAACAAGUUAAUAAACUAAAACUUUCAACAACGGAUCUCUUGGUUCUGGCAUCGAUGAAGAACGCAGCGAAAUGCGAUAAGUAAUGUGAAUUGCAGAAUUCAGUGAAUCAUCGAAUCUUUGAACGCACAUUGCGCCCCUUGGUAUUCCGAGGGGCAUGCCUGUUCGAGCGUCAUUUCAACCCUCAAGCUCUGCUUGGUAUUGGGCUCCGUCCUCCACGGACGCGCCUCGAAGACCUCGGCGGUGGCGUCUUACCUCGAGCGUAGUAGAAAACACCUCGCUUUGGAGCGCACGGCGUCGCCCGCCCGGACGAACCUUUGGAUUUUUCUCAAGGUUGACCUCGGAUCAGGUAGGGAUACCCGCUGAACUUAAGCAUUAAAACGGGAAAGAAAAACUCGGACUAAGGGGGUUUACCCGCUGAACUUAUGUAUAUCUAACGACUGGGGAAAGAAUAUUCCCCCGUUUUAGCUUUAUGCGAAUGGGUCAUUGGAAAAUAGUUUUUUGAUUCUCUUUUGUGGGAAGAUAACCCGAAAAAGUCAACGACAACCCAUCAGUUUUUUUGUAUACAUCUCCACUCAGGUGGGACUCCCUGCUGACCUUAGAUUUUAUAAUCAUG